rnacentral:rRNA from 1 species
CCUACGGGUGGCAGCAGUGGAGAAUAUUGCACAAUGGGGGAAACCCUGAUGCAGCGACGCCGCGUGAGUGAAGAAAUAAUUCGUUAUGUAAAGCUCUAGCAGCAGGGAAGAAAAUGACGGUACCUGAGUCAGAAGCCCCAGCUACCUACGUGCCAGCAGCAGCGGUAAUACGAAGGGGGCAAGCGUUAUCCGGAUUUACUGGGUGUAAAGGGAGCGUAGGCGGCAGUGGAAGUCUGGAGUGAAAGGCGGGGGCUCAACCCCCGGACGGCUCUGGAAACUGUACGGCUGGAGUGCAGGAGAGGGAAGUGGAAUUCCUAGGGUAGCGGUGAAAUGCGUAGAUAUUAGGAGGAACACCAGUGGCGAAGGCGGCUUACUGGACUGUAACUGACGUUGAGGCUCGAAAGCGUGGGGAGCAAACAGGAUUAGAUACCCUUGUAGUC